UCAUUUGUAAACCAAUUGUAAACCACAAGAAGAAGAAACGAAAGAGAGUUCAAUUCAUUACUCACGUGCUGUUCUCGCACACAAUCAAAGCGCAAAGAGACAUGUUUCAGACAGCGCAGAAAUACCAAGUUGCGUAUACAUACACAUAAAAUUAGCCUAUGUCAAAAACCCU